rnacentral:rRNA from 1 species
UUGCAUUCCUGAGGUUAGCGGCGGACGGGUGAGUAACACGUAGGCAACCUGCCUGUACGACCGGGAUAACUCCGGGAAACCGGAGCUAAUACCGGAUAGGAUGCCGAACCGCAUGGUUCGGCAUGGAAAGGCCUUUGAGCCGCGUACAGAUGGGCCUGCGGCGCAUUAGCUAGUUGGUGGGGUAACGGCCUACCAAGGCGACGAUGCGUAGCCGACCUGAGAGGGUGAACGGCCACACUGGGACUGAGACACGGCCCAGACUCCUACGGGAGGCAGCAGUAGGGAAUCUUCCGCAAUGGACGAAAGUCUGACGGAGCAACGCCGCGUGAGUGAGGAAGGUCUUCGGAUCGUAAAACUCUGUUGUCAGGGAAGAACCGCCGGGAUGACCUCCCGGUCUGACGGUACCUGACGAGAAAGCCCCGGCUAACUACGUGCCAGCAGCCGCGGUAAUACGUAGGGGGCAAGCGUUGUCCGGAAUUAUUGGGCGUAAAGCGCGCGCAGGCGGCUUCUUAAGUCAGGUGUGAAAGCCCACGGCUCAACCGUGGAGGGCCAUCUGAAACUGGGGAGCUUGAGUGCAGGAGAGGAGAGCGGAAUUCCACGUGUAGCGGUGAAAUGCGUAGAGAUGUGGAGGAACACCAGUGGCGAAGGCGGCUCUCUGGCCUGUAACUGACGCUGAGGCGCGAAAGCGUGGGGAGCAAACAGGAUUAGAUACCCUGGUAGUCCACGCCGUAAACGAUGAGUGCUAGGUGUUGGGGAGUCCACCUCCUCAGUGCCGCAGCUAACGCAAUAAGCACUCCGCCUGGGGAGUACGGCCGCAAG